rnacentral:rRNA from 1 species
UACGAAGGGGGCUAGCGUUGCUCGGAAUUACUGGGCGUAAAGGGCGCGUAGGCGGUUUGGACAGUCAGAUGUGAAAUUCCUGGGCUCAACCUGGGGGCUGCAUUUGAUACGUUCGGACUAGAGUGGGGAAGAGGGUCGUGGAAUUCCCAGUGUAGAGGUGAAAUUCGUAGAUAUUGGGAAGAACACCGGUGGCGAAGGCGGCGACCUGGUCCUUGACUGACGCUGAGGCGCGAAAGCGUGGGGAGCAAACAGG